AAAAAUGAAGCAAAAUUUGCUGUCAGUUUCGGCCUGACCCUUGGGCCCUCCCAUUUUUA
rnacentral:tRNA from 1 species